AUUGAACGCUGGCGGCAGGCCUAACACAUGCAAGUCGAGCGGAUGAAGGGAGCUUGCUCCUGGAUUCAGCGGCGGACGGGUGAGUAAUGCCUAGGAAUCUGCCUGGUAGUGGGGGAUAACGUCCGGAAACGGGCGCUAAUACCGCAUACGUCCUGAGGGGGAAAGGGGGGGAGCUUCGGACCUCACGCUAUCAGAUGAGCCUAGGUCGGAUUAGCUAGUUGGGGGGGUAAAGGCCUACCAAGGCGACGAUCCGUAGCUGGUCUGAGAGGAUGAUCAGCCACACUGGAACUGAGACACGGUCCAGACUCCUACGGGAGGCAGCAGUGGGGAAUAUUGGACAAUGGGCGAAAGCCUGAUCCAGCCAUACCGCGUGUGUGAAGAAGGCCUUCGGGUUGUAAAGCCCUUUAGUUGGGAAGGAAGAGCAGUAAGUUAAUACCUUGCUGUUUUGACGUUACCAACAGAAUAAGCACCGGCUAACUUCGUG
rnacentral:rRNA from 1 species